GGAGGAUUCAUAAAUAUUUGCUGUCUUUCCUCUGUAGACGGCUCAAGUUUGAAGAUGCACCAAAAAUUGAUGCAUCUGGCUCUUGGUUUAUUUUACUCCGACUUAUUCACUUCAAUCAAGUGCCUGUUCUGCACAAUGCUGGGCCCUGGGGAUACAAAGUAAAAAAUAACUGUCUUUGCCCUUCAAGAUCUUAACGUUCCACUGGGGCCGGUAGGGAAGAGAGCAAGCGAACAAGGUUCCGGCCACGAGAGGGCGUCAGAGAAAGCGUGACAAGGAAGCGUUACGGCCUGAGCAGAACUUUGAAGAAAGGCCGAGUUUAGGAGGAUGGCUUCUGGGCUUGGGCAAAGUCUAAGCUUCCAUGUUUUACCAGUUGUGUGAUAAUGCUCCUUCACCUUAAAAAGACAGUCUCCAGCCUCCAUCAUCAAGCUGAAUGUUCUAAAAAAACUUCACAGGAUCAUGAAAUUGCAGAGCCAGGAAGACAUUAUGGUAGACAUUGGGAGAACAAAAGGACAAAAAAAGGAAACAGUGUCCAUCCUUAAAAACGUUGGAUUCUAUGUUAUGAAGAAAACUUUGUUUCACAAUUCAUAAGCUGUAAAAAGUGGGCCCACUGGAUGGAGGACUGGGGUAAUAAUACUUGCCUCUAUUGUAUGAAUCAAGAUGUCUACAGCAUUUAGCAAACUUGAAAGCAUUACUUAUGUAAAUUAUAUCUAUUGUUAUGAGUGUCUUAAUUUUUAGUUUUCAUUUUGUUUCAGACAUCAAAAAAGGCAAACAAUUUGCUAGUGAAAAUCUUUUACUUAAACAUUUUCUCACCUUGACACUUAUUGUUAGCAUUUUCUUAAAACAGCCUCUUUCUUACAGUCAUAUCACUAACUAUAGGGAGCCAGAUCAAGAGACAGCAUUCUGAUGACUUUUGUGUUGUUGAAAAAAAAAUAUUAACUGCAUACCCUUUGUUUUGGACACUCACGAUUCUUUUUUAACAUUAUUUUAGCUUUCUAGUCCAAGCAUUGUUCUUGGAGGGAGAAAUGUCCAAACUAACAAUGUCCCCUCAUUGCCAGACAGAUCUCUCCAACACAAGAUAUUUUAAAGAUAUAUUUAUAGAAAUCUUGAACUUGGAAAAUUUCACAAUUUUGUAAAACAUAGUUGUGCAAUUUAGGGUUAACAUUCAUUUCACCUAAUUGAGUAAUAGUCAUUUAAUCUUUGGGGAUCUUCAGUAGAAUUAUCCUUGUAAACCACACAGUCCCACUUUGACCAUUACCUUCAAAAUGGUUCCAGAUAACAUGAGGUUAUCAGGGACCUCCCCCUUCUAAUACUCUAAUCCCUUCAGGAAAUGGGAAAAGGGGUCAGUCAAGGUCCCCCUUGUCCUUAGUCCUUGUCUAAGUACUUCAAGGGAGGAGGUCUCUUAGCUGAUUUAGAAAGAAGGGAACAGGACAUUAUUUCAGAAUUGAUCAUAAAAGGAAGGUUGAUAAAAUGUAGCUUUCAUACUAAGGCUUCAGACUAGGACAAUCUUAAAAUACAAUCUUAAUGCCUAUAAAAGGGGACAUCAGGGGACUUGGCUUUCUCAGUCUAAAAGGAAGAUAUUGGUCCCAUAGUGUGUGUUUGUGUGGGGGGAACGAGGAGGGGGAGAGUUGUUGCCAAAUUCUUUCAAAUAAAAGCAGCUUGGUGUUCUUAUUUAAAUUGAGCUCAUCUAAAAAUAGCUCCUGUCAGCUCAGCAGUCUGUGCACUCACACUUUCUUCUCCAUUAGAUUCUCAGCUUAAAGGGACAUAGGCAAAAGCAAAAUAUAGUUAUGGCUCCUUUCUUAAUUUCUGCCCAAUGACCUAUACCUUAUGAGGAUAGAUAAACCAUCUUUGGAGCCAAGACAAAAACAAAAACAAAAACCAUGUUUUGUCCUAGUACUUUUUGCCCUUUUUUAGAACAGGUUUGUCCUUUCCCUUUGGUUUCUACUGAACCAUCUUGGCAGGUUUUCUGUUCAACACUAGGAGGUACUGUUGUGUGUAGAAUGUAACAGACUUCUUUCUAGGAAGGACUUUCUUAAUUUUGAUUUUGCCUUAGAACAAUCCAUUUAGUUUCUAAGCCAAGUAAGUAUAUUAACUUAUUUAUUCAUUCAUUCAUUCAUUCCUUUCUUUGUUUAUUUAUUUAUUAGCUUAUUUAUUUCACCAUCAGGCCUUCCUUUAGAAAAAAACUCAUGCCAAACUUUUAAUGGCUCCCUAUUUUAUGAGUACAGUGCUCUGAUAAGUAAGGAGAGAAAAUAUACCAAGUUAUAUCUAGCAAUGGGGGCAAGUGCCUACUAUGUGCUAGGUUUUGUGCUAAGUGCUGGGGUUACACAGAAAGGUAAAAACAAAUAAUAUAACAAUGCCUGUUUGUUGGCCACAAAAACCACUAAAAGUUUUAGGAAUGUGUUGGAGCCAGUUGGUACCUCUUCAGCUAAUGAAAUUUUCAGUAUGAGCAUUUAUAGCUCAGAAAUCAGCAAAUGCUACAAAUCAAGUCUGGAUUUAUUUUUUGAUUGUCAAGAAAAUGAUGCAGAAAAUAUUAACAGCUUAGAUUAUCCUUCAAAGUGGGUCAUGGGACAUCUAGCUGUCACAUGGAUAGGGCACUGGGUCUGGUGUCAAUAGGACCAGAGUUCACAUCCAACUCUAGACACUAAUUGUGUGACCCUGGGCAAGGUACUUAACCCCGAUUGCUCCCCACAAAAAAGAUAUGUCAUGAGUACAUUAUAGACUUGCAUCCCCUUCCCCCCAACUACAUGAUGGUUAUUAAACAUUGUACCCAACCUGUGGUAGAGCCUUCUAAGUUUGUAUUGGAAGGAUCAGCCACAGUCAGACAUACUGAAUAUUCAUUCCAAUAUUAUGUCAGUUUGGUCCUCUGAAUAUGAAGGACCACAACUGACCAACUAGCACAUUACUGAUUUGUGUUUCUUCCCAGUCUGGGAAGAGAAGAAACUGAAUCAAGAAUCAGUGGUUUAGGGACUUUCACUCAUGGCUACAGGAGUUUGGGAACUCAUGAGAAGAAAAAGGAAGAUGUGACUGUGGUCUUAUAACACUCUUAGAUUUGUCCAUGAGACAAAAAACUGGAAGCCAGUGGCUGAGACACCCGAGUCCCUUUAAAAAGAUUAUACACAUACAGACACAUACACACACAGAGUGUGUAUAUAUGUGCAUGUGUGUCUUGUAUCUCUGUU